GAGUUCUCGGGAACAGCGGCUCGGCCUGCAAGGCUGUUGUUUCAAGAAAUGAAAAUGAAGGGCGCCCUGGAAUAGGUUCGCCUAAGAGAGAGCAAUAUGGCCUGUCGCGGUGGCUCAUGCCUGUAUUCUCAGGACUUUGGGAGGCCAAAGCAGGAAGAUCGCUUGAGCCCAGGAGUUUGAGACCAUCCUGGACAACGCCUCUGGGAAGCAAGCCAUCGUGUGGCAGAGGCCCAGGUGGCAAGGAACCAAGGGCGGCUUCUGGCCAACAGCCAGCGAGGACCUGAGGCCGUAGCCCAACACCCCUCCAGGAACUGAAUUUUGCCAACAACCAGCGAGUGACCUUGGAAGUGGAUCCUUCCCCCGAAAGCCCGGCUUUCAGGAUUGGAGGCUGUUGUCAUUGGAGAAGUUCAUGAGAAUGUUACUCUGCACUGUGGCAACAUCUCGGGACUGAGGGGCCAGGUGACCUGGUACCGGAACAACUCGGAGCCUGUCUUCCUUGUCUCGUCCAACUCUAGCCUCCGGCCAGCUGAGCCUCGCUUCUCUCUAGUGGAUGCCACCUCCCUGCACAUUGA
rnacentral:sRNA from 1 species